GGCCACAGCCAUGUCAUCCUGCAGCCCAAGACCAGUUACUCACUGAAGCUAAGCAGGGCUGAGCCUGGUCAGUACCUGAAUAGGAGACCACAUGGGAAAACUAGGUUGCUGUUGGAA
rnacentral:rRNA from 1 species